rnacentral:lncRNA from 1 species
CAAGAGGAUCCUUAAGGUUCCUCCCAACCCAAAUCCUGGGAUUCCAUGAGGACACACAUUUUGGGAAGCUGCCCCUCAAUUUAAGCCUGUCCUGAAGCUCAGAAUUUCCAAGUCAAAAAAACCCCCAAGGUUUUUUACCGUGAAAACAUCUAUUAGCGAUAAAUUAGAAUUUGACAAAAUGAGGCUGCAGUUCUCUCUGGGGUGGUUAAAAAAGGGAGGCGCCCCCAAACCUUGGGUGUGAUUCCCUGUGGGUCCCAGAGGCUCUCAGACACUGCAGGGAGGGUUUCCUGGGCAUGGGGUCAGUCCUUGCCCCCCCAGAUGCUGGGAGGGCAUCGGGCAUGGCAGCCAGACUUACAGACACAGCACCCUGCCUAAAGCUUGUUUUGUUCUUUGCAGGGCGUUUUUGAUGAAUUCUAAUGCAAACCAUUUUGUUAAUUUAAUUGAUUUUUUUCUCUUUAGCAGGGACUUGAAUAAAACCUCACACGAGUCCCCAGGGGCUGGUGCUUCUCUUUGAUGUGGCCCAGCUCUUCUCCUGCUCUCUCCCAUCCAUUUCCAUCCCUUUCUCCUCUCUUUUUCCUCUGCCAGGAACUCUCCCCCAACCCUUUGCAGUUUCCCCCUUCUCCCCUCUCCAGCUGGGGUGAUCCCAGAGCAUCUCUCGGCCACAGGUGGGGGAGAUUCCUGCAUCCCCACCCUCUCAGGGAUCACCUGCCCCUGGGUUCCCUCUGAUGAGCUCUGGUGUUUUCCCUCCCCACCCUUUUGGGUGUUUGGUCCUGCCCUUCCCAGGGCUUUUCCAGCAGCAGGAGCUGCUCCAUCUCUGCCUCCUGGAGCUGCCUCUGCUGCUUCCUGAGCCUGCUCCAAGGGACAAGCAAAACUCCGUAAAGAACUUCCAGCUCAGGAACGUUGUGGAGUGUUUUAGAUAUCCAGAGAGAAGCUGUUUGUCAUCUCUGCCCAGGAAUCCACCUUCCAGCCUGGCCCUCAGCAUGAAAGGGGGUUGAGUUCCGACAGUGACAAUCCAGGUUGGAAAUUGGAUCCAAUAUUUUAUCCAUCCACUGAGAAAAUAAAGUGAAAUUUGGAGAUUUGGGGAUGCCCUGG